UAUGGCAAUGGGUAGAUGUUGGUGAUUUGGACCACUUGAUCUGUUCUUCAGCACUCUGUUGAGAUAUUACUUGGUGGAGUAUCUAACUCUGCCAUCCCUUGCUCUGGAUUCUUACAAGUUCUCUUGUUGCUGGACAAUUUGCAGAAUGUAA